rnacentral:tRNA from 1 species
UGUCCUGUAGCUCAAUAGCAGAGCAUCCGGCUGAUAACCGGAAGACCGCGGCGCGUUACCGCGCGGGACAACCA